rnacentral:lncRNA from 1 species
UGGAUAAAUGAAAAGGAAGCUGUCGGUGAUCGAGGCGCGGGCGAGAGACAAUAUUGGCGUGAAGCUUUUUCUUCUGAGGCAUAUGCAAGGGCGGCCAUUGGCAAUUUGCAUAUAAAUGGCUACACAAAUAGGGGUAUUCACCUAAAGCGAAAUAUUUUAUUUUGAGGGGGUGUCCAGAACCGAGAGAAUCUAUUUUUUUUCUCCAUGAUUUUGGAUUACAC